rnacentral:rRNA from 1 species
GACAUUACGGGAGGCAGCAGUAGGGAAUAUUGCACAAUGGGGGAAACCCUGAUGCAGCGACGCCGCGUGAGUGAUGAAGGCCUUCGGGUCGUAAAGCUCUGUUGUACGGGAAGAAAAAAAUGACGGUACCGUAUAAGAAAGGAUCGGCUAACUUCGUGCCAGCAGCCGCGGUAAGACGAGGGAUCCUAGCGUUGUUCGGAAUCAUUGGGCGUAAAGAGUAUGUAGGCGGCCUUGUAAGUCAGUUGUGAAAGCCCCGGGCUCAACCCGGGAAGUGCAAUUGAUACUGCUUGGCUUGAAUGUGGAAGAGGGCAGUAGAAUUCCAGGUGUAGUGGUGAAAUACGUAGAUAUCUGGAGGAAUACCGGUGGCGAAGGCGGCUGCCUGGUCCUACAUUGACGCUGAGACGCGAAAGCGUGGGGAGCAAAACAGGGAUUAGAUACCCUGGUAGUCCACGCUGUAAACGAUGGCACUAGGUGUCCGGGGUAUUGACCCCCUGGGUGCCGCAGCUAACGCAUUAAGUGCCCCGCCUGGGGAGUACGGUCGCAAGAUUAAAACUCAAAGGAAUUG